rnacentral:rRNA from 1 species
CCUACGGGAGGCAGCAGUGGGGAAUUUUCCGCAAUGGGCGAAAGCCUGACGGAGCAAUACCGCGUGAGGGAAGAAAGCCUACUGGGUUGUAAACCUCUUUUUUCAGGGAGGAAAAAAAUGACGUGUACCUGAAGAAUAAGCAUCGGCUAACUCCGUGCCAGCAGCCGCGGUAAGACGGAGGAUGCAAGUGUUAUCCGGAAUUACUGGGCGUAAAGCGUCUGUAGGUGGUUUAAUAAGUCAACUGUUAAAUCUUGAGGCUUAACUUCAAAACAGCAGUCGAAACUAUUAGACUAGAGUAUAGUAGGGGUAAAGGGAAUUUCCAGUGGAGCGGUGAAAUGCGUAGAUAUUGGAAAGAACACCGAUGGCGAAAGCACUUUACUGGGCUAUUACUAACGCUCAGAGACGAAAGCUAGGGUAGCAAAUGGGAUUAGAUACCCCAGUAGUCCUAGCUGUAAACAAUGGAUACUAGAUGUUGAACAGAUCGACCUGUGCAGUAUUAAAGCUAAACGCGUUAAGUAUCCCGCCUGGGAAGUAUGCUCGCAAGAGUGAAACUCAAAGGAAUUGACGG